rnacentral:tRNA from 1 species
UCUAUUUAGGCGGAGUGGCGCGCUAAAUUUAGGAUUUAGACAAGAGAUUUACUCAAAUAGAA